rnacentral:rRNA from 1 species
AGUGAACGCUGGCGGCGUGCUUAACACAUGCAAGUCGAACGAGAACGGAAUAUAGCUUGCUAUAUUUGUCAGCUAAGUGGCGCACGGGUGAGUAAUGUAUAGAUAACCUGCCCUUAAGAAAGGAAUAACAGUUGGAAACGACUGCUAAUGCCCUAUAUGCCUUUAAUACAUAAGUAUGCAAGGGAAACGCUUUAGUGCUUAAGGAUGGGUCUGUAUGGUAUCAGCUUGUUGGUGAGGUAAUGGCUCACCAAGGCUAUGACGCCUAACCGGUUUGAGAGGAUGAUCAGUCACACUGGAACUGAGACGCGGUCCAGACUCCUACGGGAGGCAGCAGUGGGGAAUAUUGCACAAUGGACGAAAGUCUGAUGCAGCAACGCCGCGUGGAGGAUGACACAUUUCGGUGCGUAAACUCCUUUUAUAUAGGAAGAUAAUGACGGUACUAUAUGAAUAAGCACCGGCUAACUCCGUGCCAGCAGCCGCAGUAA